rnacentral:rRNA from 1 species
AUUGAACGCUGGCGGCAGGCCUAACACAUGCAAGUCGAGCGGUUGGAGGGAGCUUGCUCCUGGAUUCAACGGCGGACGGGCGAGUAAUGCCUAGGAAUCUGCCUGGUAUUGGGGGAUAACGUCCGGAAACGGGCGCUAAUACCGCAUACGUCCUGAGGGAGAAAGUGGGGGAUCUUCGGACCUCACGCUAUCAGAUGAGCCUAGGUCGGAUUAGCUAGUUGGUGGGGUAAAGGCCUACCAAGGCGACGAUCCGUAACUGGUCUGAGAGGAUGAUCAGUCACACUGGAACUGAGACGCGGUCCAGACUCCUACGGGAGGCAGCAGUGGGGAAUAUUGGACAAUGGGCGAAAGCCUGAUCCAGCCAUGCCGCGUGUGUGAAGAAGGUCUUCGGAUUGUAAAGCACUUUAAGUUGGGAGGAAGGGCAGUAAGUUAAUACCUUGCUGUUUUGACGUUACCAACAGAAUAAGCACCGGCUAACUUCGUG